rnacentral:rRNA from 1 species
AUUGAACGCUGGCGGCAGGCCUAACACAUGCAAGUCGAGCGGACCGCCGGAGGGGUGAUUAAUGCUAAGGAUUCUGCCUGGUAGUGGGGGAUACGGUCGGGAAACGGCCCCUAUUACCCCAUCCUAUCAGUGGACCUUAGGUCGGAUUAGCUAGUUGGUGGGGUAAUGGCCUACCAAGGCGACGAUCCGUAACUGGUCUGAGAGGAGGAUCAGUCACACUGGAACUGAGACACGGUCCAGACUCCUACGGGAGGCAGCAGUGGGGAAUAUUGGACAAUGGGCGAAAGCCUGAUCCAGCCAUGCCGCGUGUGUGAAGAAGGUCUUCGGAUUGUAAAGCACUUUAAGUUGGGAGGCGUUACCAACAGAAUAAGCACCGGCUAACUUCGUGCCAGCAGCCGCGGUAAUAC